rnacentral:rRNA from 1 species
AUACGGAGGGUGCAAGCGUUAUCCGGAAUCAUUGGGUUUAAAGGGUCCGUAGGCGGGCGAUUAAGUCAGAGGUGAAAUCCCACAGCUCAACUGUGGAACUGCCUUUGAUACUGGUUGUCUUGAAUUUUGGUGAAGUAGAUAGAAUAUGUAGUGUAGCGGUGAAAUGCAUAGAUAUUACAUAGAAUACCGAUUGCGAAGGCAGUCUACUAACUAACAAUUGACGCUAAUGGACGAAAGCGUGGGGAGCGAACAGAAUUAGAUACCCUAGUAGUCC